rnacentral:lncRNA from 1 species
UGCCUGACAUAAUUGUGGACUUUAAGUUACAAACUUUCUAAAUUUCCUAAACUACAAACCAAGGAUUAUUAUGAGAAUUGAUUCUAAUAUUGUGGAUAAAGUGCUUAGUUCAGCAUUCAAAACCAUAACUUACACAUAACUUAAUAGCAAAUUAUUAGACACACUAUUGUGUUAAAUAUGUCAUAGAAAUUCAUAGAAAUAAUUUAGAAAUCAUCUGAAAGAACCUAGUAGCGAUAGCCAUUAUUCAGGAUGAUGCAGUUGAAUUCUUUUUCUACUUUCUGCUCUCAGUGAAAAUAUAAAGGUGUGAUUCAUAAAAAAACGUAUUAUAAGGGGUUAGGUUUUAAGUGAAGAUCCUGCAACCUACUUGGCUCAACUGAUCAGUUAAUUCAUUCAUUUACCACCAACCAUAUGUCAGGCACUGUACUAGAUGCUGUUGGAAGUCCCCCAGCCCUGCCCCCGCACCCUUGGUUACUUUCAGACAUCCUUAUAAUUUUAGAAUUUGUCAGCCUGAGCCAAGGUCCAUCUUUGGGUGAAUGAUGAUUAUUUAAAGAAAGCAAUUUGACAGAAAUACAUCUUUUGGUAUACAGCAAAUAACCCUUGCUACGUUUUGUGCACAUUAACUAAUUUCUAUUCCUUUACCCUUAAGAAACCUCUUCAUAUGUGGAGUAUUUCUGCAGACAGUCCUUCAGCUUUUCCCCACUCUUCAAAAAGCAAGAAAUGGAGUAAACCAUCUCUGCAAAGCAGCAACGUUGUGCUCUGUAUUCUGAAACUACAGCAAACUCUCAGCGCUCUUAGGCUAGCUCCGCGACGGCUCCCAAGGCUGGAGACUCCAAAUCGAAUCCUCUUCGGACUGCCACGCUGCAAAAGACGUCCUGGGAUUGUAUUCCAAUUACAUGACGUGUAAAUAUCUAUACCUGGACAAUGUUAAAAGAACUGUCCAGAACCUUGUAUUUGCUUUAUUAUUUUCGAAGUCAUUUAGCUCCUCCUUCUAAAUCUAAUCUCUUUAGGUAUAUGUCUUUCUGUCUUUCCUUCUCACGCAGUUGUUAAAAUCCCACUACAUUUUUUACGAAAUGGAACGUUUGAUUGCCGCGGGCGGAGAGCGUUUCCCGGUAUAGAGCUCGGUGCGACCCUGCACACGACCUUGGCACAGAGCACAUGCGGGGUAAACGUGGACGAUGAAGGGCUUCGUGGCCUUUUAGGACGCGACUGUUUUAUUUAUUGGGGAGUCAGAUUAACGAAGCUAGGACGGCUGCGGAUGUCUUGCUUAGUGAAGAACCCGGGCCUGUACAUUCGGGUCCAAGUAAACCGUUUUGCACUGUGCUUCCAUUGCCUCCUAUUUUUCAAACUGUUAUUAUCUGGGCAGUUACUUCACUUCUUGUUAUGUCGAGAAAAGGCCAGGGAAUGAUGCAAUUACCAAAGGAAUCAAGAAACCUUCCAGCGCAGCCUCAGUUCAGAAUCCCUCAUGAAAUAGGAGCAGAAGGCAAUCGCAUGUAACUCAGCUUUGAAAGUGCCAACCGUUCAGUUGGACUGAUGUAACCCAAGAGACCCCGCUCCGCUGCAAGAUGGAAGGAGGCUUAAGUAAAACAGAUAUAAAUUUGUAAUGAACUUGCUCGCAACAUCCGGCGCCGCUGUGAAUUACAGCCUUCGCCCAUCACCGUAGACUUCAGAAUUUGUUCUUGUUUUCAGCAAUUCAGAAAUGGAGUUUACAUUCUUGAUAAAAUUUGUCAAAAAUUAUUUAAUAAUACGCAAACAGGAAGAUUAAAAUGACUUAAUAAAUAAAGAUGGAAGCAUCA